rnacentral:tRNA from 1 species
GUGGUUGUGGCUCAGUGGUAGAGUGCUUGCCUAGCAUGCACAAGGCACUGGGUUCAAUCCUCAGCACCACA